CUCAUCGGUUAAGAGCAGUGGCUGCUCGUCUGGAGGCCCUGAAUUCAAUUCCCAGUAACUACAUGGUGGCUCACAGCCAUCUCCAACUGUAGUCCCAUAGGAAUCUGAUGCCCUCUUCUGGUUUGUACAUGUAUUUGCAGACAUAUGCAUAAAUAAAUGGAAAAAAGAAAGUGGCAUCCCCUAAUGGGAUGUGUAUGUGUGGAAGAAACGCCAGAUUCAGUGAGGACAUUGUUCGAUAAUAGAAUUGGGAACUGAGAGUUUGAUCAGUCACUGAAAAAACACUGGGAUCAUUCGAAGGAGUAGACCUGGAGAGACGACCACACGUUUUGUAUUCUUAAAGAUAUAAAUUAAGACAAAAAGACAUCCCACCUGGCCUAUACACAAGCGAAAAUGAGUGUGGCUGUGCAUACUGAGUUUUGAGGCUGCUGACUGCAAAGGAAAGGAUUCCAGAAUGUGCAAGGUGGAGGCAGGAGGAUCAGAAGAUGAAGAUGG
rnacentral:lncRNA from 1 species